UACAGAGGUCUCAAGCGUUGUUCGGAUUCAUUGGGCGUAAAGGGUGCGUAGGCGGCGCGGUAAGUCGGGUGUGAAAUCUUGGAGCUUAACUCCGAAACUGCAUUCGAUACUGCCGUGCUUGAGGACUGGAGAGGAGACUGGAAUUUACGGUGUAGCGGUGAAAUGCGUAGAUAUCAGGAGGAACACCGAUGGCGAAGGCAGCUCACUGGGACGGUACUGACGCUGAGACGCGAAAGCGUGGGGAGCAAACAGG
rnacentral:rRNA from 1 species